rnacentral:lncRNA from 1 species
ACGAUGGACUCCAAUGACUUCAGCUUGCCUUUGGGCAGUCUAUUCUUUGAGAAACCCAUUGUCCAUAAAGUAAAGCCACUGCACCAGGAGGCCAGCGCAUGGCUGCUGGAGCCGCCGCCUUCGUUUACUGAGAUUCCAGCCACUCAAGAACUCCAGGAAGAGGCAGAGUCUCUCACCACUCUGUACAGCAGAGGUGGACAAUUUCUAUCACAGCAGGGACAACAGAAAUAUUUUUCACAAAGAUCUGAUGAAGCUCUGUGUACAUCAGAUGUCAACAAUGAUGACGACAUCGAUGGGACUCGUAGUGGGAGCCACGGUAGCAGAUUAAAACAAGGCUUCUGGAGGGGCAGAGGUGCAGAUGAAACACCGCCAGACUCUGGUCAUCGAAUAAACCCGUCGAAGAGGAGAAGGCAAGUGUCUGUUGUUAGCUUAGAGAUCUUUAUUGUCAUGACAACAGCAGAUCAACACUAAGGCUGGGCAAUAUAUUGUG